rnacentral:rRNA from 1 species
AUUGAACGCUGGCGGCAGGCCUAACACAUGCAAGUCGAGCGGAUGAAGGGAGCUUGCUCCUGGAUCCAGCGGCGGACGGGUGAGUAAUGCCUAGGAAUCAGCCUGGUAGUGGGGGAUAACGUCCGGAAACGGGCGCUAAUACCGCAUACGUCCUGAUGGAGAAAGAGGGGGAUCUUCGGACCUCACGCUAUCAGAUGAGCCUAGGUCGGACUAGCUAGUUGGUGGGGUAAAGGCCUACCAAGGCGACGAUCCGUAACUGGUCUGAGAGGAUGAUCAGUCACACUGGAGCGGGGACACGGUCCAGACUCCUACGGGAGGCAGCAGUGGGGAAUAUUGGACAAUGGGCGAAAGCCUGCUCCAGCCAUGCCGCGUGUGUGAAGAAGGUCUUCGGAUUGUAAAGCACUUUAAGUUGGGAGGAAGGGCAGUAAGUUAAUACCUUGCUGUUUUGACGUUACCAACAGAAUAAGCACCGGCUAACUUCGUG